rnacentral:rRNA from 1 species
GAUGAACGCUGGCGGCAUGCCUAACACAUGCAAGUCGAACGGGAAGUGGUGUUUCCAGUGGCGAAUGGGUGAGUAACGCGUAAGAACCUGCUCUGGGGAGGGGAACAACAACUGGAAACGGUUGCUAAUACCCCGCAGGCUGAGGAGAAAAAGGAGAAAUCCGCCCAAGGAGGGGCCGGCGACUGCGUAGCCAGUUGGUGCGGUAAUAGCUUACCAAGGCGAUGAACAGUAGCUGGUCCGAGAGGAAGAUCAGCCACACUGGGACGGGGACACGGCGCAGGGUCCUACGGACGGUAGCAGUGAGGAAGUUUCAGCAAUGGGGGAAGUGCUAACAGGGCAAUGGGAUGUGGAAGUGCAAGGCCUACGGAUCGUCGACUUCUUGUCUCGGCGAAGAAACAAUGACGGUAUCUGCAGAAUAAGCACCGGCUAACUCUGUG